UUUUUUUUUUUUUUUUUUUUCCUUUCUUGGCCUGCACGGUUUGUGCGUCAGCCAUGUACAAAAGUUAGGAAGUGCAUUAUUAGGUUUAUUGGAUAGGAAAUUAGUACGGAAUUUGGAAAAGGAUCAGAUAAAUUUUAUUAUAAGCAAAAAAUAUAUGGUUAAAACCCCCAACGUCAUUGCCACACUCAAAUGUGUCGUCAGGCAAAAGGUUUAAGCCUUGCCAAAUGCAAGGGUAUGCAUGCAUGGCCCAGCCUCAUACAUAUAAGGGUCGAAGUAAUAUCUUUACCAAGCGUCAAAGUAUAAGUGGAAGGGUGAGACUUCGUGCUAUCCGAGCAGUCUGUAUCGAUAAUGGAACCUUCCGUUUCCAUUCCAGACGCAUCGAUUGUGACUACAUGAGACACCUGGAGGGAUGUCCCUCCAGGGUCUUCGGGCUCCAUCACGGACGACAAGAAAAAAAUUCUUAUCUACAUAUAAUAUAAUAAAAUAACUUACCAGGCUACUAAGACAAACUAAAAAUAUAAAUAAUCAACAAUAACUACUACUAUAUACACCUUAUAACUUAACUGAUCCUGUAUUAUUAUAUUAAUUUAAUUUUCAAAAUUUAAGCCAAAAAAAAGACGCCCGCCUAUUUUUACACUUCCCGCGCUUUU